AACGAACGCCGGCGGCAGGCUUAACACAUGCAAGUCGAGCGGAGAUGAGGUGCUUGCACCUUAUCUUAGCGGCGGACGGGUGAGUAAUGCUUAGGAAUCUGCCUAUUAGUGGGGGACAACAUUCCGAAAGGAAUGCUAAUACCGCAUACGUCCUACGGGAGAAAGCAGGGGAUCUUCGGACCUUGCGCUAAUAGAUGAGCCUAAGUCGGAUUAGCUAGUUGGUGGGGUAAAGGCCUACCAAGGCGACGAUCUGUAGCGGGUCUGAGAGGAUGAUCCGCCACACUGGCACUGAGACACGGCCCAGAGUCCUACGGGAGGCAGCAGUGGGGAAGAUUGAACAAUGGGGGGAACCCUGAUCCAGCCAUGGCGCGUGUGUGAAGAAGGCCUUAUGGUUGUAAAGCACUUUAAGCGAGGAGGAGGCUACUGAGACUAAUACUCUUGGAUAGUGGACGUUACUCGCAGAAUAAGCACCGUCUAACUCUGUGCCAGCAGCCGCGGUAAGAC
rnacentral:rRNA from 1 species